rnacentral:rRNA from 1 species
GACGAACGCUGGCGGCGUGCUUAACACAUGCAAGUCGAACGGAAAGGCCCUGCUUGCAGGGUACUCGAGUGGCGAACGGGUGAGUAACACGUGGGUGAUCUGCCCUGCACUUCGGGAUAAGCCUGGGAAACUGGGUCUAAUACCGGAUAGGAGCCAUUUUUAGUGUGAUGGUUGGAAAGUUUUUUCGGUGUAGGAUGAGCUCGCGGCCUAUCAGCUUGUUGGUGGGGUAAUGGCCUACCAAGGCGGCGACGGGUAGCCGGCCUGAGAGGGUGGACGGCCACAUUGGGACUGAGAUACGGCCCAGACUCCUACGGGAGGCAGCAGUGGGGAAUAUUGCACAAUGGGCGCAAGCCUGAUGCAGCGACGCCGCGUGGGGGAUGACGGCCUUCGGGUUGUAAACUCCUUUCGCUAGGGACGAAGCUUUUGUGACGGUACCUAGAUAAGAAGCCCCGGCUAACUACGUG